GGAGAGUCCCGUGGAAAUGCCUGGUAUGCAGAAAUACAAAUGAGAAGGAAGAAUGAAUGAAAAAUGAAGACUGAGUAACAUUUAUUCCACCAUUGUACUUUUACAUGAGGCCUAAAAUGAGAUCAUGCUAGGGCAAAAUUUAGAUGAAACCACAUUUCUUCCAAUACUUCAGUGGUAUUGCACUGUUUAUUUGCAUAUAUUAUGUCAAUUUCAUCUUGUGAAAUAGAUCCACUGAGUUACCAAUUUUGAGUUCAAAUGCCACUGAGCAAAUUAAAGAACAACUGAAUGAAUGGAUUCAUCUAUUGUAUAGUGACACAAAUAUGCAUGCCAUAUUAGACCUAAUGCUCUGAUUUCAGAUAAGAAAAGAACAUAACAACCAGAAAAUAGGUACUCACAAAACCCCAGCCACUUUUUGUAA
rnacentral:misc_RNA from 1 species